AUUGAACGCUGGCGGCAUGCCUUACACAUGCAAGUCGAACGGCAGCACGGGAGCAAUCCUGGUGGCGAGUGGCGAACGGGUGAGUAAUAUAUCGGAACGUGCCCAGUCGUGGGGGAUAACGCAGCGAAAGCUGUGCUAAUACCGCAUACGAUCUACGGGAUGAAAGCGGGGGAUCGCAAGACCUCGCGCGAUUGGAGCGGCCGAUAUCAGAUUAGCUAGUUGGUGGGGUAAAAGCCCACCAAGGCGAUGAUCAGUAGCUGGUCUGAGAGGACGAUCAGCCACACUGGGACUGAGACACGGCCCAGACUCCUACGGGAGGCAGCAGUUGGGGAAUAUUGCACAAUGGGCAAAGCCUGAUGCAGCAACGCCGC
rnacentral:rRNA from 1 species